UAUUUUAGAUUAUAAAUUGAUUAUUCUACCUAAGUACUAUGAAUUAUUGUUUGAAAUUUAAAGGACUUGGCGGUAUCUUAGACCAUUUAGAGGAACCUGUAUUUUAAUCGAUAGUCCUCGUUUCACCUCACCUUUUUUUGUAUUUCAGUUUGUAUACCGUCGUCGUCAGUUAACUUUAUAAUAAGAUAUAAGUUGUCUUGAAAAAUUUUUUUUUAGAUGUCAGAUCAAGGUGCAGCCCAUGAAUUGGAAAAUAUUGGUUACUAUUAUUUAUUUAUAAUAUGGAUAACUUUUUUGUAAUACAUGUUUGAAAAAGGAUUUAAAAGUAAUCUAAUUUAGAUAUAUUAGAUGAAUAUGGCUCUUA
rnacentral:rRNA from 1 species